rnacentral:lncRNA from 1 species
GUUUUGACUUGGAUUUCUCUAAUUAGUAGAGAUGAUAAACAUUUUUUUUUUUCAUGUUUGUUAAUUUGAGUGUAUAUCUUCUUCUGAGAAGUGUCUGUUCAGUUCCUUAGCUCAUUUAUUGAUUGGGUUAUUUGAGGGGUUUUUUAGUUGUUAGUUUGGUUGGUUUGGGGUGUUAAGUUUUUGAAUUCUUUAUAUAUCCUGGAGAUUAAUGCUCUAUCUGAGGUGCAUGUGCUAAAGAUUUUCUACCAUUCUGUAGGCCUUCUCUUUUUGUUAUUAAUUGUCUCUUUUGCUGAGAAGCAGCUUUUUAGUUUGAAUCCAUUUAUUGAUUCUUGAUUCUACUUCUUGCACUUUAGGAGCCUUGUUAAGAAAAUCAUUCCUAGGCCGACAUGGUGGAGAUUUGGUCCUACUUUUUUCUUCUAUUAGG